UUGCAGGUAAAGUUACAAUAUAGCUGCCAAGUGCUGUGUUGUCGUUCCCCCUGCAUAAAGUAACUCGUUUCAUACUAUCCCUGAUUGUCUAGUUUCAGAGACAGACAGGGACGCUUGGUCACGAACAU
ensembl:snoRNA SNORA63 Small nucleolar RNA SNORA63